CAGUAGCUCAGGGGUAGAGCUUCAGCUUCACAUGCUGGAAGACCUGGGUUCGAUUCCCUGCUG
rnacentral:tRNA from 1 species